UCCCUAGACUUUUCCCCCAUGUGUGAUGC
rnacentral:piRNA from 1 species